ACAGAGGAGGGUAGGGAAGGGAGCAAAGACAAGCAAGGACAGGCAGAGGCAGCAAGCAUCAGCGCAUGUGGACAUGGUGAGGACAGAGGCAGCCAGGGGUGUGCAGGAAGAAGCUUGGCAGAAAAGAAAGCAGUGGAAAGAGGGAGAACAAAGGCAGGCAGGAGAAGGGUAUGGGAGCCCAGGAAGCGGACAUUGAGAGAAAGACAGGAUUGGAAAGAGACAGAA